CGAACGGGUGAGUAACGCGUGAGGAACCUGCCUCAAAGAGGGGGACAACAGUUGGAAACGACUGCUAAUACCGCAUAAGCCCACGGGUCGGCAUCGAUCUGAGGGAAAAGGAGUGAUCCGCUUUGAGAUGGCCUCGCGUCUGAUUAGCUAGUUGGUGAGGUAACGGCCCACCAAGGCGACGAUCGGUAGCCGGACUGAGAGGUUGAACGGCCACAUUGGGACUGAGACACGGCCCAG
rnacentral:rRNA from 1 species